GAUGAAGAACGUAGCGAAACGCGAUAAGUAAUGUGAAUUGCAGAAUUCAGUGAAUCAUCGAGUCUUUGAACGCACAUUGCGCCCCCUGGUAUUCCGGGGGGCAUGCCUGUCCGAGCGUCAUUGCUGCCCUCAAGCCCGGCUUGUGUGUUGGGUCUCGUCCCCCUUCCCGGGGGGACGGGCCCGAAAGGCAGCGGCGGCACCGUGUCCGGUCCUCGAGCGUAUGGGGCUUUGUCACCCGCUCUGUAGGCCCGGCCGGCGCUUGCCGAUCAACCAAAACUUUUUUCCAGGUUGACCUCGGAUCAGGUAGGGAUACCCGCUGAACUUAAGCAUAUCAAUAAGCGGAGGA
rnacentral:misc_RNA from 1 species